GUAAAGUAGAAGUGGCUGGAAUAAGUAGUGUAGCGGUGAAAUGCAUAGAUAUUACUUAGAACACCAAUUGCGAAGGCAGGUCACUAUGUUUUAACUGACGCUGAUGGACGAAAGCGUGGGGAGCGAACAGGAUUAGAUACCCUGGUAGUCCACGCCGUAAACGAUGCUAACUCGUUUUUGGGCUUUCGGGUUCAGAGACUAAGCGAAAGUGAUAAGUUAGCCACCUGGGGAGUACGUUCGCAAGAAUGAAACUCAAAGGAAUUGACGGGGGCCCGCACAAGCGGUGGAUUAUGUGGUUUAAUUCGAUGAUACGCGAGGAACCUUACCAAGGCUUAAAUGGGAAUUGAUCGGUUUAGAAAUAGACUUUCCUUCGGGCAAUUUUCAAGGUGCUGCAUGGUUGUCGUCAGCUCGUGCCGUGAGGUGUUAGGUUAAGUCCUGCAACGAGCGCAACCCCUGUCACUAGUUGCUAACAUUCAGUUGAGGACUCUAGUGAGACUGCCUACGCAAGUAGAGAGGAAGGUGGGGAUGACGUCAAAUCAUCACGGCCCUUACGCCUUGGGCCACACACGUAAUACAAUGGCCGGU
rnacentral:rRNA from 4 species